rnacentral:rRNA from 1 species
AGAAUCAACGCUGGCGGCGUGCCUAACACAUGCAAGUCGAACGAGAAAGUGGAGCAAUCCAUGAGUAAAGUGGCGACCGGGUGGGUAACACGUGACUAACCUACCUUCGAGUGGGGGAUAACCUCGGGAAACCGAGGCUAAUACCGCAUAACAUCGUGAGAUCAAAGCAGUAAUGCGCUGGAAGAGGGGGUCGCGGCUGAUUAGCUAGUUGGCGGGGUAAUGGCCCACCAAGGCGAAGAUCGGUA